rnacentral:rRNA from 1 species
AACGAACGCUGGCGGCAGGCCUAACACAUGCAAGUCGAACGCCGUAGCAAUACGGAGUGGCAGACGGGUGAGUAACACGUGGGAACGUACCCUUCGGUUCGGAAUAACUCAGGGAAACUUGAGCUAAUACCGGAUACGUCCGAGAGGAGAAAGAUUUAUCGCCGAGGGAUCGGCCCGCGUCUGAUUAGCUUGUUGGUGAGGUAACGGCUCACCAAGGCGACGAUCAGUAGCUGGUCNGAGAGGAUGAUCAGCCACAUUGGGACUGAGACACGGCCCAAACUCCUACGGGAGGCAGCAGUGGGGAAUAUUGGACAAUGGGCGCAAGCCUGAUCCAGCCAUGCCGCGUGAGUGAUGAAGGCCCUAGGGUUGUAAAGCUCUUUUACCUGGGAAGAUAAUGACUGUACCAGGAGAAUAAGCCCCGGCUAACUUCGUGCCAGCCGCCGCUGUAAC